CAUGAAAACUAGAUUUAUAUAGUAUGUCAAAAAUGGCAAUAGUGGGCGCCUGGCUAGCUCAGUUCGUACAGCGGGCGCCCAUGUAUGGCUAAGGCUGAGUCUUAGCCGCGGUCGACCCGGGUUCGAAUCCGGACCUGUGGACCUUUGCCGCAUCUCUCUCUCUCUGUUUCCCCUCAUUCCAUGACUCUUAGUCACCAAAAAAAAAAAAAGGUCUAUAGCAUGUUAGGUAUGUUAGGAAUGUUAGCUUAGUAUAGUGCGUGAUGAAAAAAAUAGUGCGUGAUGAAAAGAUUUCGUGAUAAGUCAGGAUGUUAGCAGUGGACUUUUCACCAUCAUUUGAAAAGUAAAUGGUUACGUCACAAUAUAUAGUUUCAGUGCCUUGCUUUUGGCACACUUCAGCACAGUGGAAGCUUGAGAGUAAAACCAGGUCUUCUGGUUCAGGGCCAGUCUCCCAAAUCACUGUACCAACCUGCUGUAUGGAGUAUAAUCAUUUGCAUUGAACACAAUUGUAUGAAUCAUAAAUCUUUAAUAAAUAAAUAAAAUUAAAUGUUAUCAGAUCUCAA